rnacentral:rRNA from 1 species
GGUUCGGAACAACCCAGGGAAACUUGGGCUAAUACCGGAUAAGCCCUUACGGGGAAAGAUUUAUCGCCGAAAGAUUGGCCCGCGUCUGAUUAGCUAGUUGGUGAGGUAAUGGCUCACCAAGGCGACGAUCAGUAGCUGGUCUGAGAGGAUGAUCAGCCACAUUGGGACUGAGACACGGCCCAAACUCCUACGGGAGGCAGCAGUGGGGAAUAUUGGACAAUGGGCGCAAGCCUGAUCCAGCCAUGCCGCGUGAGUGAUGAAGGCCCUAGGGUUGUAAAGCUCUUUUGUGCGGGAAGAUAAUGACGGUACCGCAAGAAUAAGCCCCGGCUAACUUCGUGCCAGCAGCCGCGGUAAUACGAAGGGGGCUAGCGUUGCUCGGAAUCACUGGGCGUAAAGGGUGCGUAGGCGGGUCUUUAAGUCAGGGGUGAAAUCCUGGAGCUCAACUCCAGAACUGCCUUUGAUACUGAAGAUCUUGAGUUCGGGAGAGGUGAGUGGAACUGCGAGUGUAGAGGUGAAAUUCGUAGAUAUUCGCAAGAACACCAGUGGCGAAGGCGGCUCACUGGCCCCGAUACCUGACG